rnacentral:antisense_RNA from 1 species
ACUGACCCGUGAGAGGCGGUGCGGGCCGGUGCGGGCCAGCUUCCAGGACCUGGAGGACCCAGCUUCCAGGACCUGGAGAGAAAUCGAGGAAAAGUGGGCAAGUUUUGAGUUCAACCUGAGGCCUCAAGGAUGUGUGCAACCCAUGGUACUUGAAUUUACUUAUUCACUGUUUUUUUGGAAAUUCUUAUUUCCCAAAACUCGUGGAAGGAGCUGACUUCUGGCAGGAAAUGUGGAACUGGCAGCGUGUCGUGCAAGCAUCUGCAAUCCCAGUCCUGAGUUGGACUUCUCAGAGAGGCUGGGCAUUAUUUAUGGAGACGUCGGAGUGACAGGGGAACUUCUGGCCAGGAACUGCCGGUGGUGUCACAUCCUUAACCUGGCUGACAUCGGAACACCCUGGGGGGAGCAUUUCUCCAGGAAAGGAUGGUGGGUCAUGAGCCCCCAUGGUGUCUUUUCAAAGCAAUAAUAAAGAUAUCA